GUUUUUUUAUAGAUGUUGGAUGCUUACUCCUUAUCAGAUAUGUCAUUUAUAAAUAUCUUCUCUCAUUCUAAACGUUGCCUUUUAGUUUUGUAGCAAUGAUGUCUUUAAACUGCUUCAAAAAUAUGCAGACUUGGAUAUAAGAAAUGAACCAAGAAAGAACUAUCUUCUUACUAAAUUUUGACUUCUUACCACACAUUCUGAAUAAAGCUGAAGAAAGCUACCAGUGGAGAGCAUAUCUAGCAGCAUCUGGUCUUCUGGCAGAAAAUUCAAACUAUUUUGUUGGCAGCUACAGGAUUAUCCCUUGAUGCCUUGAUUUGAUAGCAUCACAAAAGCAUGCAUCUAUAAG